CUGUUCUGUAUGUCAUGCUUGUUCAAUUCUCUGUAAACAAAAGUAGAGCAUGAAUAUGUCACUACAAGAUCAGAGACGUAUAUGGAUCAUACACAUGGUUCUAUGGAAACUAAAGCAGUACUGCCUUCAGAUGGUCCAUUGAGAUCUCCUGCUGCUUAGAUAAUUGCAAAACAUAUAGAAUUUGUGAGGUCAAGCUCCUGUAUACCAG
rnacentral:lncRNA from 1 species